rnacentral:rRNA from 1 species
UACGUAGGGUGCGAGCGUUGUCCGGAAUUAUUGGGCGUAAAGAGCUUGUAGGCGGUUUGUCGCGUCUGCUGUGAAAAUCCGAGGCUCAACCUCGGACUUGCAGUGGGUACGGGCAGACUAGAGUGUGGUAGGGGAGACUGGAAUUCCUGGUGUAGCGGUGGAAUGCGUAGAGAUCCGGAGGAACACCGAAGGCGAAGGCAGUGUCCUGGCGAGUAUCCUGACGCUGAGGUGCGAAAGCCAGGGGAGCGAACGGG